GUUUCUGUGGUGUAGUGGUUAUCACAUCUGCCUAACACGCAGAAGGUCCCCGGUUCAAUCCCGGGCGGAAACA
rnacentral:tRNA from 1 species